UAUUGAGCAGGGCCAGGUGUGUGUUAUUGAGCAGGGCCAGGUGUGUGUGUUAUUGAGCAGGGCCAGGUGUGUCUGUUUAUUGAGCAGGGCCAGGUGUGUCUGUUAUUGAGCAGGGCCAGGUGUGUCUGUUAUUGAGCAGGGCCAGCUGUGUGUUAUUGAGCAGGGCCAGCUGUGUGUUAUUGAACAGGGCCAGGUGUGUGUUAUUGAGCAGGGCCAGGUGUGUGUUAUUGAGCAGGGCCAGGUGUGUGUUAUUGAGCAGGGCCAGGUGUGUGUUAUUGAGCAGGGCCAGGUGUGUGUUAUUGAGCAGGGCCAGCUGUGUGUUAUUGAGCAGGGCCAGCUGUGUGUUAUUGAGCAGGGCCAGCUGUGUGUUAUUGAGCAGGGCCAGCUGUGUGUUAUUGAACAGGGCCAGGUGUGUGUUAUUGAGCAGGGCCAGGUGUGUGUUAUUGAGCAGGGCCAAGUGUGUGUUAUUGAGCAGGGCCAGGUGUGUGUUAUUGAGCAGGGCCAGGUGUGUGUGUUAUUGAGCAGGGCCAGGUGUGUGUGUUAUUGAGCAGGGCCAGGUGUGUCUGUUUAUUGAGCAGGGCCAGGUGUGUCUGUUUAUUGAGCAGGGCCAGGUGUGUGUUAUUGAGCAGGGCCAGGUGUGUGUUAUUGAGCAGCGCCAGGUGUGUGUGUUAUUGAGAAGGGCCAGGUGUGUCUGUUUAUUGAGCAGGGCCAGGUGUGUCUGUUAUUGAGCAGGGCCAGGUGUGUCUGUUAUUGAGCAGGGCCAGGUGUGUGUUAUUGAGCAGGGCCAGGUGUGUGUUAUUGAGCAGGGCCAGGUGUGUGUUAUUGAGCAGGGCCAGGUGUGUGUUAUUGAGCAGGGCCAGGUGUGUGUGUUAUUGAGCAGGGCCAGGUGUGUCUGUUUAUUGAGCAGGGCCAGGUGUGUGUUAUUGAGCAGGGCCAGGUGUGUGUUAUUGAGCAGGGCCAGGUGUGUGUUAUUGAGCAGGGCCAGGUGUGUGUUAUUGAGCAGGGCCAGGUGUGUGUGUUAUUGAGCAGGGCCAGGUGUGUCUGUUUAUUGAGCAGGGCCAGGUGUGUCUGUUAUUGAGCAGGGCCAGGUGUGUCUGUUAUUGAGCAGGGCCAGGUGUGUCUGUUAUUGAGCAGGGCCAGGUGUGUGUUAUUGAGCAGGGCCAGGUGUGUGUUAUUGAGCAGGGCCAGCUGUGUGUUAUUGAGCAGGGCCAGGUGUGUGUUAUUGAGCAGGGCCAGCUGUGUGUUAUUGAGCAGGGCCAGCUGUGUGUUAUUGAGCAGGGCCAGCUGUGUGUUAUUGAGCAGGGCCAGCUGUGUGUUAUUGAACAGGGCCAGGUGUGUGUUAUUGAGCAGGGCCAGGUGUGUGUUAUUGAGCAGGGCCAAGUGUGUGUUAUUGAGCAGGGCCAGGUGUGUGUUAUUGAGCAGGGCCAGGUGUGUGUGUUAUUGAGCAGGGCCAGGUGUGUGUGUUAUUGAGCAGGGCCAGGUGUGUCUGUUUAUUGAGCAGGGCCAGGUGUGUGUUAUUGAGCAGGGCCAGGUGUGUGUUAUUGAGCAGGGCCAGGUGUGUGUUAUUGAGCAGGGCCAGGUGUGUGUUAUUGAGCAGGGCCAGCUGUGUGUUAUUGAGCAGGGCCAGGUGUGUGUUAUUGAGCAGGGCCAGCUGUGUGUUAUUGAGCAGGGCCAGGUGUGUGUUAUUGAGCAGGGCCAGGUGUGUGUUAUUGAGCAGGGCCAGGUGUGUGUUAUUGAGCAGGGCCAGGUGUGUGUUAUUGAGCAGGGCCAGGUGUGUCUGUUUAUUGAGCAGGGCCAGGUGUGUCUGUUUAUUGAGCAGGGCCAGGUGUGUCUGUUAUUGAGCAGGGCCAGGUGUGUCUGUUAUUGAGCAGGGCCAGGUGUGUCUGUUUAUUGAGCAGGGCCAGGUGUGUCUGUUUAUUGAGCAGGGCCAGGUGUGUCUGUUUAUUGAGCAGGGCCAGGUGUGUCUGUUUAUUGAGCAGGGCCAGGUGUGUCUGUUAUUGAGCAGGGCCAGGUGUGUCUGUUAUUGAGCAGGGCCAGGU